rnacentral:rRNA from 1 species
AACGCACUUGCAGACGGUAGCGGCUUGAGAGGCGACGGCACAUGGACUUGAGACCCUGCUGAUCCUACGGAAGCCAGCAGUGGGGAAUAUGACAUUGGGCGCAGCUGAUGCAGCGACGGCGCGUGAGGGAUGACGGCUUCGGUUUUAAACCUUCUUUCAGUAACGACGAAGCGCAAGUGACGGUAGGUACAGAAGAAGCACCGGCCCAACUACGUGCCAGCAGCCGCGGUAAUACGUAGGGUGCGAGCGUGUCCCGAAAUUACUGGGCGUAAAGAGCUCGUAGGCGGUUUGUCGCGUCGUCUGUGAAAACCCGCAGCUCAACUGCGGGCUUGCAGGCGAUACGGGCAGACUUGAGUACUGCAGGGGAGACUGGAAUUCCUGGUGUAGCGGUGAAAUGCGCAGAUAUCAGGAGGAACACCGGUGGCGAAGGCGGGUCUCUGGGCAGUAACUGACGCUGAGGAGCGAAAGCGUGGGUAGCGAACAGGAUUAGAUACCCUGGUAGUCCACGCCGUAAACGGUGGGCGCUAGGUGUGGGUUUCCUUCCACGGGAUCCGUGCCGUAGCUAACGCAUUAAGCGCCCCGCCUGGGGAGUACGGCCGCAAGGCUAAAACUCAAAGGAAUUGACGGGGGCCCGCACAAGCGGCGGAGCAUGUGGAUUAAUUCGAUGCAACGCGAAGAACCUUACCUGGGUUUGACAUACACCGGACCGCCCCAGAGAUGGGGUUUCCCUUGUGGUCGGUGUACAGGUGGUGCAUGGCUGUCGUCAGCUCGUGUCGUGAGAUGUUGGGUUAAGUCCCGCAACGAGCGCAACCCUUGUCCUGUGUUGCCAGCACGUAAUGGUGGGGACUCGCAGGAGACUGCCGGGGUCAACUCGGAGGAAGGUGGGGACGACGUCAAGUCAUCAUGCCCCUUAUGUCCAGGGCUUCACACAUGCUACAAUGGCCGGUACAGAGGGCUGCGAUACCGCGAGGUGGAGCGAAUCCCUUAAAGCCGGUCUCAGUUCGGAUCGGGGUCUGCAACUCGACCCCGUGAAGUCGGAGUCGCUAGUAAUCGCAGAUCAGCAACGCUGCGGUGAAUACGUUCCCGGGCCUUGUACACACCGCCCGUCACGUCAUGAAAGUCGGUAACACCCGAAGCCGGUGGCCUAACCCCUCGUGGGAGGAGCCGUCGAAUGUG